CUCCUUCCGCCCACGUGACCCGCCCAGGCCCUUUCCCUUCCAACAUGGCGGCGCCCAGAUUCUCGAGUCACACGUGAGAAAGACCCAGCCGCUGGCAAGCGGAGAGCACCACGUGUGAGCCCCGUUCGGCUCCCUGGCAUCGACCUCAUCCUUCUGACUCUUCCGGAGGCUCCUCCGGGACUUUCCCCUCUGCAGCCAUGAAAAUAAAGCCCGUUUCCCACAAGACGGAGAACACUUAUCGGAGUUGGGGAGGCAGGCCCGUGGGAGAGUGAGUGACUUCAUCUAAUGGCCACCGUAGCAGCUUUUCUAGGUCUUCGUUACAACGUAGGUCUGUAUGUGUUUAAAAGCAUUUUGUUGCAACGACUUCGCUAGAUCUCUGUGCUUUUGGCCAACUUCACAAGUCUAGCAUGGAGUAGCUGAAAGAACUUAGGCAAAAGUAGUAUUCCUUAUCUUCAAAUAGUAACGCAGUGCUUUUAAGGCCCUGUGACUUUAGGUUUGUUUUUACCCUUAUUCUUUGUGACUUAUCAGUGAUCUGUGCUUUUAGUUUAACAAUUACACAUUUUAUGAUUCAUAGACUCCACAAAUCCGAAAUGAGCACAACAUAGAGUUAUCUGCAGUGAUAGCACAUAGGGAGGCUUAGUGAAUGAAGCUUUAUGCUUUCUACGUUAACAAGGCAGCUACCUACAUGUGGUUGUUAAAUGGUACUCAAGAUGCAAUGAGCUGUGAAUGAUGAUGCAUGUUAAAUAUGUUCUUCCUCCCAGUUUCUUACAUUCGCUGAACGGCUGGGGAAUGUGAAUAUUGAUAUUAUUCACCGUAUUGAUAGAACUGCAAGCUAUGAUGAGGUAAGAGAAUGUGAUAUUAGCCAAUCUUCAAGUGUUCAUAGACUUUUUAACUGUGGCCUGUUAGUAGAAGUGAGUUUUUAAGCCAUUUCUUUUAUGAACAUGAAAUCAUAAGAUGUGGCCUAGUACAGAAGCCACACCUGGCAAAUGGAUGUUUAAUUUACCUUUAAUGUAAAGCGCUCAAAUUAACCUUAUGUGAGGCUAGUUGCUCCCAUAUUUGGACGAGUGCAGACAUAGAAAGGUCUAUUGGGUGAGGCUGUUUUAGACAAUGAACUUGACGUGAUACUCAGCUAACUUUUUUGAUUUGAGCCUCCUCCUUCCCAGAAUGCACUACUACAGCCAUAGUCCUACAGCUAUGAUUUUAAAGUGAUUUUGAGCAAGCCACUUUCCUGGGGCUUAGUUUCUUUCUGUAGUUUAGACAUGCAUAUUUAAAGAUGUUUAUUCAGCUUUGCUGUGAGGAGGAAUAGAACAGCCUAAAAAUCCAACAAUAAGAAUAUGGUCCCUCUUGAUAGAAGAGCUGGUGAUGGGGCUAGACUACAUGAUUUUCUAGCUCUAACCACACUGAAACUGUCAUCCCUCUGUGUAGAAACAUUUUUCUUUUUGGUGUAUCAAGUCAUUCCUCUGCUAGCCUUGAAAGAUCUUGUAGAAGAUGCCAUUCAACCUCAGUUCUUACUUUUUAUUGGUACUGGGAAUCGAACUCAGAACCUUGCACUUGCCAGGCAGGCACAGCACCACUGAGCUACAUCCCUGGCCCCUUACUAUUUUUCAAAUUCUGC
rnacentral:lncRNA from 1 species